AUUGAACGCUGGCGGCAUGCCUAACACAUGCAAGUCGAGCGAGCGGCGGACGGGUGAGUAAUGUCUGGGAAACUGCCUGAUGGAGGGGGAUACCUACUGGAAACGGUAGCUAAUACCGCAUACCAUCAGAUGUGCCCAGAUGGGAUUAGCUAGUAGGUGGGGUAACGGCUCACCUGGGCGACGAUCCCUAGCUGGUCUGAGAGGAUGACCAGCCACACUGGAACUGAGACACGGUCCAGACUCCUACGGUAGGCAGCAGUGGGGAAUAUUGGACAAUGGGGGCAAGCCUGAUGCAGCCAUGCCGCGUGUAUGAAGAAGGCCUUCGGGUUGUAAAGUACUUUCGGCGGGGAGGCGGUACCCGCAGAAGAAGCACCGGCUAACUCCGUGCCAGCAGCCGCGGUAAUUC
rnacentral:rRNA from 1 species